rnacentral:rRNA from 1 species
UUAUUAUUUCACGUGUAGGGGUAAAAUCCGUAGACGCCAUUUGAAGGAACACGCGGAAGGCGAAGGCGCCUGCCUGGACGACUAUUGACGCUGAGGCGCGAAAGCGUGGGGAGCAAACAGGAUUAGAUACCCUGGUAGUCCACGCCGUAAACGAUGAGCACUAGUUAUUGGAGGUAUUGACUCCUUCAGUGACGCAGCUAACGCAUUAAGUGCUCCGCCUGGGAAGUACGGUCGCAAGACUAAAACUCAAACAAAUUGACGGGGGCCCGCACAAGCGGUGGAUUAUGUGGUUUAAUUCGAAGCAACGCGCAGAACCUUACCUAGGCUUGAACUCCUACGAAUCCGGGGUAAUGCCUGGAGUGUCCGCAAGGAAAUGUAGUGAGAGGUGCUGCAUGGCUGUCGUCAGCUCGUGUUGUGAAAUGUUGGGUUAAGUCUCGCAACGAGCGCAACCCCUAUCGUCUGUUGCCAGCAUUAAGUUGGGCACUCUGACGAGACUGCCUGGGUUAACCAGGAGGAAGGUGGGGAUGACGUCAAGUCCUCAUGGCCCUUAUGUCUAGGGCUACACACGUAAUACAAUGGCGCGUACAGAGGGAAGCGAACUCGCGAGGGGGAGCAAAUCUCAAAAAGCGCGCCUCAGUUCGGAUUGGAGUCUGCAACUCGACUCCAUGAAGUUGGAAUCGCUAGUAAUCGGAGAUCAGCACGCUCCGGUGAAUACGUUCCCGGGCCUUGUACACACCGUCUUUUUCACCAUGGGAGUUAGUUUUCAUUUUAAGACGUGACUAA